UACGGAGGGUGCGAGCGUUGUCCGGAAUCACUGGGCGUAAAGGGCGCGUAGGCGGCCUGAUAAGUAGGGGGUGAAAUCCUGCGGCUUAACCGCAGGGCUGCCUUCUAAACUGUCAGGCUCGAGCACAGUAGAGGCAGGUGGAAUUCCCGGUGUAGCGGUGGAAUGCGUAGAGAUCGGGAAGAACAUCAGUGGCGAAGGCGGCCUGCUGGGCUGUUGCUGACACUCAACUACGAAAGCGUGGGGAGCAAACAGG
rnacentral:rRNA from 1 species